GGGAGUAUAGCUCAGUUGGUAGAGCGCUGCCUUUGCAAGGCUGAUGCCAGCGGUUCGAGUCCGCUUACUUCCA
rnacentral:tRNA from 2 species